CAGCCGCCGCGGGAAUACGAAGGGGGCUAGCGUUGCUCGGAAUGACUGGGCGUAAAGGGCGCGUAGGCGGUUUUCCAAGUUAGAUGUGAAAUUCCUGGGCUCAACCUGGGGACUGCAUUUGAUACUGGGAGGCUUGAGUAUGGAAGAGGGUCGUGGAAUUCCCAGUGUAGAGGUGAAAUUCGUAGAUAUUGGGAAGAACACCGGUGGCGAAGGCGGCGACCUGGUCCAUAACUGACGCUGAGGCGCGAAAGCGUGGGGAGCAAACAGGAUUAGAGACCCGCGUAGUCCCUGUCUCUUAUAC
rnacentral:rRNA from 1 species